CAGCCGCCGCGGUAAUACGUAGGGUGCAAGCGUUAAUCGGAAUUACUGGGCGUAAAGCGUGCGCAGGCGGUUUCGUAAGACAGAUGUGAAAUCCCCGGGCUUAACCUGGGAACUGCAUUUGUGACUGCGAGGCUAGAGUGUGUCAGAGGGGGGUGGAAUUCAACGUGUAGCAGUGAAAUGCGUAGAUAUGUGGAGGAACACCGAUGGCGAAGGCAGCCCCCUGGGAUAACACUGACGCUCAUGCACGAAAGCGUGGGGAGCAAACAGGAUUAGAUACCCGUGUAGUCCCUGUCUCUUAUAC
rnacentral:rRNA from 1 species